AAAAGCAAGAGGAGGCUUCUUCUUCUUCUUCACUCAAUCUAAAUCUCUCACUAUCUCUUCCUGGUUCCUCUUGAUAAUUCUCAGCGUCCAACCAAAACCUACUCACUAUCACAACAGCUCUAUCAUCACCUUAUUUGGUUCUUAAAUACAUGCUGCUCCAUAUUAAUCGCCAUUUGAGAAAGUGCUUUAAAUCAUACAUCAACAGGAGGUGAAAAGUUGAAUAAUAUUUUUGUAUAUCAAUAGAAGUGUGAAAAAUACAUCAAUAAUUUGGUUAUAAGAGGAUCAUACAACUCCAACAGCAAAAUGCUCGAAGUCAUCUUCUUGGCAGAAUUUCGCAGAGCUUCAUGGCAACUACAUCAGCUAGAAUCAAUGGAGGAACUUGUUUAAGAAAGAA